rnacentral:rRNA from 1 species
UACGUAGGGGGCUAGCGUUGUCCGGAAUCAUUGGGCGUAAAGAGCGUGUAGGCGGUCCGGUAAGUCCGCUGUGAAAGUCGGGGGCUCAACCCUCGAAUGCCGGUGGAUACUGUCGGGCUAGAGUGCGGAAGAGGCGAGUGGAAUUCCUGGUGUAGCGGUGAAAUGCGCAGAUAUCAGGAGGAACACCAAUGGCGAAGGCAGCUCGCUGGGACGUGACUGACGCUGAGACGCGAAAGCGUGGGGAGCAAACAGG